rnacentral:misc_RNA from 1 species
UGGGAUAAACGCUUAGUUGAGUUGUAUCACCAUAAAUGCAAUAUGAUCAACAAAAGAAUAUUAUUUAGAUAGGCUGAAAGUAAAAUAACUCAAAAAAACAAAAUUUAUAACUUCAACAAAAGUUUCUAGCAAGAAAAUCUAAAAUGCUAGAAUCUUCAUAAUAUCCAGAAAAAUUUCCACAUAGCAGUCAAUCUCAUGCACUUUCUCUAAACUAAACUCUUCCUCUUCAAAGAUUUACUUCCCUGGAACUUGAAGCCGUUGUAUUUUCUCUUAUAUAUCAACAGUUUCUCCAAAUAAAAAUCAUUCAAAAUCAAAAUAUUUAACCAUGAGAUUCAGUCUUCUGUUUCUUUCACUUUUGUUUUGCUCCAAGUUAUGGUCUUUAUUCUCCUACUUGUAUUUGUAAAAGAGCAGAACACCUUUUGUCCUACUGAAGCUCAUGGUGCUUUUGUAAUAAAUGACAGCAACAUAUAUCAAGCAAAAAAGGCUAAUAAGUACCAAAUAAAUGAGGAGAAAGCCUCACAUUCCUAGACCCAAGGUAGCACCUAGGAUCACCUCACCUGGACCUAGUUAUGGCUCUUAGGUUAUGCCUUGCCUCACCCAAUUGCACAGCUUAGCUGACAGCACUGCAUGUGGUCAAUCAUAAUUUCAAAGUUCCUAAAUAGAUCUUCUAUCGGUUGCCAUCACACUUUCAAUAUAUUAUUAUCUGCAGGGAAUUUCAUAGCCAAUAUCAAAUUUCAAAAGAAUGACUCUUUCUUCUCUUCCCUUUUUUCUUCUUUUAUUUUUCCCCCUUUGUGCAUGCGUGCUUAUGUUUUCUUCAUUGGAAAUGUGCUUCCGAUAUAGACCUUUAAACUAACCUCUUUCUCAACAUGCUGUAUCAUAGUUAUUAAAAGCACGCCUCA